rnacentral:rRNA from 1 species
AGGAUAAACGCUGGCGGCGUGCAUGAGACAUGCAAGUCGAACGGACGAUCAGGGCUUGCUCUGAUCGUUAGUGGCGGACGGCUGAGUAACGCGUAGGUGACCUGCCCCGAAGUGGGGAAUAACUGCCCGAAAGGGUGGCUAAUACCGCAUGUGGUGGUGUGUUCAUUCACACCAGUAAAGCCGCAAGGCGCUUCGGGAGGGGCCUGCGUCCGAUUAGCUCGUUGGUGGGGUAACGGCUCACCAAGGCGACGAUCGGUAGGUGGUCUGAGAGGACGAUCACCCAGACUGGGACUGAGACACGGCCCAGACUCCUACGGGAGGCAGCAGUCGGGAAUUUUGCGCAAUGGACGAAAGUCUGACGCAGCAACGCCGCGUGAGGAUGAAGGCCUUCGGUUGUAACCUCUUUUAUCAGGAAGAUAAUGACGGUACCUGAUGAAUAAGUCACGGCUAACUACGUGCCAGCAGCCGC